rnacentral:lncRNA from 1 species
CGGGAGGUUCCGGCUGCCCUAGGCCGGAACACAGGCACAAGUCCGGGGCGAUCGCUCUCUGGGGAAGCAGGGCCAGCGUCCCAGAGCCCAGGGUGCCCGGAAUGGGACAUGGAUAGGGUCCCGGAAUUGGCCUUCUCCGGAAUCGGAAUCUGAGCGAGGACUCCGGGAUCCCCAGCCUGAGGACCUCCGGCGUUUCCACUCCCUGGCUCCCCGUCCCACCUGUUGCCUUUGCUAUGCCUACCCUGGUUCUUUUUCGUGCUAUGGAGACAGCGUGGGCAACUCCAGCGCAAGAAGGUGCAGCUGUUGUGGAGAUCUGCUGACCAAUGUCAAGUUCA